GGCUGGUUUGAAGGUAAUGAGUUAUGUCAAUUCAUUGUUCAUAGUCAAACUCCUUGUUCAACCCUUUUUCCUCUUCUCACUACUGCACCUGACUAGUCUUUA
rnacentral:Y_RNA from 2 species